rnacentral:tRNA from 1 species
AUAGCUCAGCUGGAUAGAGUACCUGACUACGAAUCAGGGGGUCGGGGGUUCGAAUCCUCCUCGGUC